rnacentral:tRNA from 1 species
UCCCUGGUGGCUCAAAGGUUAAAGCGUCUGCCUGCAACGCAGGAGACCUGGGUUAAAUCCCUGGAUCGGGAA